AUUGAACGCUGGCGGCAGGCUUAACACAUGCAAGUCGAGCGGGGGGAGGUAGCUUGCUACCUAACCUAGCGGCGGACGGGUGAGUAAUGCUUAGGAAUCUGCCUAUUAGUGGGGGACAACAUUUCGAAAGGGAUGCUAUUACCGCAUACGCCCUAAGGGGGAAAGCAGGGGAUCUUCGGACCUUGCGCUAAUAGAUGAGCCUAAGUCGGAUUAGCUAGUUGGGGGGGUAAAGGCCUACCAAGGCGACGAUCUGUAGCGGGUCUGAGAGGAUGGUCCGCCACACUGGGAAUGAGACACGGCCCAGACGCCUACGGGAGGCAGCAGUGGGGAAUAUUGAACAAUGGGGGGAACCCUGAUCCAGCCAUGCCGCGUGUGUGAAGAAGGCCUUUUGGUUGUAAAGCACUUUAAGCGAGGAGGAGGCUACCGAGAUUAAUACUCUUGGAUAGUGGACGUUACUCGCAGAAUAAGCACCGGCUAACUCUGUGCCAGCCGCCGCCGUAACAC
rnacentral:rRNA from 1 species